rnacentral:rRNA from 1 species
AUUGAACGCUGGCGGCAGGCCUAACACAUGCAAGUCGAGCGGAUGAAGGGAGCUUGCUCCUGGAUUCAGCGGCGGACGGGUGAGUAAUGCCUAGGAAUCUGCCUGGUAGUGGGGGAUAACGUCCGGAAACGGGCGCUAAUACCGCAUACGUCCUGAGGGAGAAAGUGGGGGAUCUUCGGACCUCACGCUAUCAGAUGAGCCUAGGUCGGAUUAGCUAGUUGGUGGGGUAAAGGCCUACCAAGGCGACGAUCCGUAACUGGUCUGAGAGGAUGAUCAGUCACCACUGAACUAGUGCAACGGCCCGAAUCCUACGGGGGGGAGCAGUGGGGAAUAUUGGACCAUGGGGGGAAGGCUGAUCCAGCCAUGCCGCGUGUGUGAAGAAGGUCUUCGGAUUGUAAAGCACUUUAAGUUGGGAGGAAGGGCAGUAAGUUAAUACCUUGCUGUUUUGACGUUACCAACAGAAUAAGCACCGGCUAACUUCGUG